GAUUAUCUAGUAUAAAUAGUACAACUGACUUCCAAUCAGUUAGCCUGGUAUUUCCAGGAUAAUCA